GCGAGAGUGGCGGAAUUGGCAGACGCGCUGGACUUAGGAUCCAGUGGGAAACCGUGUGGGUUCGAGUCCCUCCUCUCGCA
rnacentral:tRNA from 1 species